UACGAAGGGUGCAAGCGUUAUCCGGAUUCAUUGGGUUUAAAGGGUGCGUAGGUGGGUAGGUAAAUCAGUGGUGAAAUCUUCGAGCUUAACUCGGAAACUGCCAUUGAUACUAUUUAUCUUGAAUACUUUGGAGGUAAGCGGAAUAUGUCAUGUAGCGGUGAAAUGCUUAGAUAUGACAUAGAACACCAAUUGCGAAGGCAGCUUACUACACAGUUAUUGACACUGAGGCACGAAAGCGUGGGGAUCAAACAGG
rnacentral:rRNA from 1 species